rnacentral:rRNA from 1 species
CUACGGGGGGCACCAGUGGGGAAUAUUGGACAAUGGGGGAAACCCUGAUCCAGCAAUGCCGCGUGUGUGAAGAAGGCCUGCGGGUUGUAAAGCACUUUCGGUUGGGAGGACUGCUUCUAGCACUAAUAUUGUUGGAAGUUGACGUUACCUUCAGAAGAAGCACCGGCUAACUCCGUGCCAGCAGCCGCGGUAAUACGGAGGGUGCAAGCGGUUAAUCGGAAUACUGGGCGUAAAGCGCGCGUAGGCGGCUAGAUCAGUCGGGUGUGAAAGCCCCGGGCUUAACCUGGGAACUGCAUCCGAUACUGUCUAGCUUGAGUACAGGAGAGGAGAGUGGAAUUCCACAUGUAGCGGUGAAAUGCGUAGAUAUGUGGAGGAACACCAAUGGCGAAGGCAGCUCUCUGGCCUGAUACUGACGCUGAGGUGCGAAAGCGUGGGGAGCAAACAGGAUUAGAUACCCUAGUAGUC